rnacentral:rRNA from 1 species
AUUCCUACAGUACCGGCAGCUACUUACACGUAAGUAGGUUUCUUCCUGUAGAAAAGCAGUUUACAACGCAUAGCGCAUUCAUCCUGCACGCGGCAUGGCUGGUUCAGUCUUUCGACCA